rnacentral:tRNA from 1 species
GAGGGUAUAGCUCAAGUGGUAGAGUGUAUGCUUAGCAUGCGUGAGGUCCUGGGUUCAAUUCCCAGUACCUCCA